rnacentral:rRNA from 1 species
CCGCAUUGGGAUGGGCCCGCGGCCCAUUAGCUUGUUGGUGAGGUAAAGGCUCACCAAGGCAACGAUGGGUAGCUGGUCUGAGAGGACGAUCAGCCACACUGGGACUGAGACACGGCCCAG